rnacentral:lncRNA from 1 species
CCAAGAGAGUUUAUAAACAAAUACAACUCUUUGGUCUCAUCCUCGAUACUGAGAUAUACCAUAAGACGAAUAAGUUGAUUCAAAAUCUCGCUAGUAAUACCUUGGCCUAAAAAAAGUAAUCUUUCUCGAUAAAGUCAGUUGAUUAGAGUAAAAUUGUGUUCCUUAGGAACCGUGCAUACACCUUUUGAUGCAUACGGUUCAAAAAAAUUGUGAAUCAAUGUAUAGAUUCCAGUCCUCUUUCUUUUUUUCUAGAAAGGUUCUUUGUUACUUCUAACGAAAGAGAUUUUCUUCGAUUUUUCAAUAAAGAGGAAUUUUGACUCCUUUUAAUAUUUCUGUUUUCGAUUUUCCAGUAUAAAAUUAGAAGUUAUAAGAAAGGGUCAUUAAACUUAUCGAAUUAACUUCUCAUUGAUGUAUUAUUUCAUCGAGAUUUAAUCCAAACCACGAUGGUAUUUUCUUGUUCCUAAAUGGGUCUGUUACAUUUUUUUAGGUUUAUGCUCUACUCCGGGUAAAGAUCCGCCCAAUUUGGAUUUGUACAUAUAGGAGAAAUGCUCCCAUUACCAUUUCUUUUUGUGUUUUUUUUUUCAAUUCAUUUUUUACAAAUAUUUAUUAGAGUUGAGAUAACUUUGCUUGAAAAUUAGGAUCUCUUCACAAAGAAAAAAUAUGAAUAGCAAUCAUAGAUAUCUUACCAAUCCAAUUGGGUUUUUUCUAAACGGAGCCUGCAUACUUCAUUUUUUUAGUCCAACCAAACCAACCAUAAAUUAUUCUAAUUGAUAAUAGUAAUAUGAAUCCCCUCAAAAAUGGAUCUAAUUGCACUUCACGCUCCAAAUUUUUGAUGAUUCAAUUUAUCGUUUUAUCGUUCUUGGGCGAAACGGGGGAUAUCUCGAUCGGGGGAGAGAACGGGGAAAUACCAUAUGACCCAAUAUAUCUGACAAGUCGCACUAUACGUCAACCCAAAGUGGAUUUGCCUCUCCAGGACCUCGGAAGGGAACUUUCGGAACACCAAUAGGCAUUAAAUGAAAGAAAGAACUAAAUACUAUAUUUCACUUUGAGGUGGAAACGUAACAAUUUUUUUAUUGUCUUUAGAAUAUUCAUAUUGGUUCUUAUCGUAUUUAUUUUAUCCAUAGAUUCUAAAAAUUCCUAAAGAAAGACAGAAUGAAU